CACUAAUCUCUAAUUUACCUCACAUUAAAUGGAUACUAUAGUCACCAGAAGCACUACAGCUUAAUGUAGUGGUUCUGGUGUCUAUAGCCUGUGCCUGUAGGCUUUUUAAUGUAAACACACUGCCUUUUCAGAUAAAAGACACUUUGUGAAGACUGGCGUUGGCCCAUAUGGCAGAGCAUAUGGGCGGGGCAUUGUGAUGUCACA